rnacentral:lncRNA from 1 species
AUCCUACGCUAUUUUAGAUCUAAUGUCUAUUAGAUCUAAUUUUAUUAUCUGAUAUUUAAAAUCUAAAAUUAAAUCUAAAAGUAUGAGAAAUAUAGACAUACCUUAAGGGUAAUCUAAUUACCCUGUAGAUGAUCGUAGCACUGCCUGAGGUUCUGAUGUAGCCACGCAAGCGCCUGGCCUCUACCAGUAUCCACUCAGGUAGGAUCUGGAACGUCUUCUCCUCAUGAUUCUAUACUCCAAAAAUCAGAUCAAUAUCUGAUUUGAAAGUACUUCAGAACUCCUUCUGAAGUUGGAGCAGCAG